AUUGAACGCUGGCGGCAUGCUUUACACAUGCAAGUCGAACGGUAACAGGGUGCUUGCACCGCUGACGAGUGGCGAACGGGUGAGUAAUGCGUCGGAACGCACCGAGUAAUGGGGGAUAACGCAGCGAAAGCUGUGCUAAUACCGCAUACGCUCUGAGGAGGAAAGCGGGGGACCUUCGGGCCUCGCGUUAUUCGAGCGGCCGACGUCUGAUUAGCUAGUAGGUGAGGUAAGAGCUCACCUAGGCGACGAUCAGUAGCGGGUCUGAGAGGAUGACCCGCCACACUGGGACUGAGACACGGCCCAGACUCCUACGGGAGGCAGCAGUGGGGAAUUUUGGACAAUGGGCGCAAGCCUGAUCCAGCCAUGCCGCGUGUCUGAAGAAGGCCUUCGGGUUGUAAAGGACUUUUGUCAGGGAGGAAAUCCUUAGCGCUAAUACCGUUGAGGGAUGACAGUACCUGAAGAAUAAGCACCGGCUAACUACGUGCCAGCAGCCGCAGUAAGAC
rnacentral:rRNA from 1 species